rnacentral:tRNA from 1 species
UCCCUCGUAGCUCAAUUGGUAGAGCGGGCGGCUGUUAACCGCCAGGUCACUGGUUCGAGUCCAGUCGGGGGAGC